UACGUAGGGUGCAAGCGUUGUUCGGAAUUACUGGGCGUAAAGGGCUCGUAGGCGGCCAACUAAGUCAGACGUGAAAUCCCUCGGCUUAACCGGGGAACUGCGUCUGAUACUGGAUGGCUUGAGAUUGGGGAGAGGGAUGCGGAAUUCCAGGUGUAGCGGUGAAAUGCGUAGAUAUCUGGAGGAACACCGGUGGCGAAGGCGGCAUCCUGGACCAACACUGACGCUGAGGAGCGAAAGCCAGGGGAGCAAAGCGGGG
rnacentral:rRNA from 1 species